rnacentral:rRNA from 1 species
AUUGAACGCUGGCGGCAGGCCUAACACAUGCAAGUCGAGCGGGGUUUUCGGACCUAGCGGCGGACGGGUGAGUAAUGCGUAGGAAGCUGCCCGAUAGAGGGGAAUACCAGUUGGAAACGACUGUUAAUACCGCAUAAUGUCUACGGACCAAAGUGUGGGACCUUCGGGCCACAUGCUAUCGGAUGCGCCUACGUGGGAUU